ACGGCUGUAGUCUAAUGGCUAUGACUCGACCUUCCCAAGGUCGCAAUCCGGGUUCGAAUCCCGGCAGUCGUA
rnacentral:tRNA from 3 species